UGGGGAAUUUUGGACAAUGGGCGAAAGCCUGAUCCAGCAAUGCCGCGUGUGUGAAGAAGGCCUUCGGGUUGUAAAGCACUUUUGUCCGGAAAGAAAUCCUUGGCUCUAAUACAGUCGGGGGAUGACGGUACCGGAAGAAUAAGCACCGGCUAACUACGUGCCAGCAGCCGCGGUAAUACGUAGGGUGCAAGCGUUAAUCGGAAUUACUGGGCGUAAAGCGUGCGCAGGCGGUUUGCUAAGACCGAUGUGAAAUCCCCGGGCUCAACCUGGGAACUGCAUUGGUGACUGGCAGGCUAGAGUAUGGCAGAGGGGGGUAGAAUUCCACGUGUAGCAGUGAAAUGCGUAGAGAUGUGGAGGAAUACCGAUGGCGAAGGCAGCCCCCUGGGCCAAUACUGACGCUCAUGCACGAAAGCGUGGGGAGCAAACAGGAUUAGAUACCCUGGUAGUCCACGCCCUAAAACGAUGUCAACUAGUUGUUGGGGAUUCAUUUCCUUAGUAACGUAGCUAACGCGUGAAGUUGACCGCCUGGGGAGUACGGUCGCAAGAUUAAAACUUAAAUGGAAUUGACGGGGUCAUAGCUGUUUCCU
rnacentral:rRNA from 1 species